GGGAUGACGUCAAGUCAUCAUGGCCCUUACGAGUAGGGCUACACACGUGCUACAAUGGCGUAUACAAAGAGAAGCGACCUCACGAGAGCAAGCGGACCUCAUAAAGUACGUCGUAGUCCGGAUUGGAGUCUGCAACUCGACUCCAUGAAGUCGGAAUCGCUAGUAAUCGUGGAUCAGAAUGCCACGGUGAAUACGUUCCCGGGCCUUGUACACACCGCCCGUCACACCAUGGGAGUGGGUUGCAAAAGAAGUAGGUAGCUUAACCUUCGGGAGGGCGCUUACCACUUUGUGAUUCAUGACUGGGGUGAAGUCGUAACAAGGUAACCGUAGGGGAACCUGCGGUUGGAUCACCUCCUUACCUGAAA
rnacentral:rRNA from 1 species